AAGGUUAAGGUAGCUAGGUUGGAUUUUAAAGUGAAAGGAAACGGAGAAUGAUUAUUUAGGAAGAUCGAUAUAACAUUUUGACUAAUAAACUAUGAGCUAUCAAUAUAGACACGUCAGUGGCAAAAUAUUCGACAAUUCUAGUGCGAAGCCAAAGCUUUUAAAGACUGAGCUGUUGAAUUUAACACAUUCACAAAUUAAUCCCGGAUCGUGUCUCCGCCAUACUGUGCCCGACUUUGGGCGGACGAAGGUCACAUUUAAAACAUGAAACCAACCAAUACUCAUCUUUUAUAGUUCUUGUAUUUUAUUUAAUAAUUUAUAUGAGACGAAAUUUCUCGUCAUUCCAUGGAUACACCGUGUGGUUGCCGGUCCAUCGCGUUGCAAGGAGAGGAGCUUCGACAGUGCCUGGGACUUGCGACUCAGCUGUAGGUUUAAGGGGCCCCUAUUUAACGUGUUACUUAUAUACAGAAAUUAAAAUGUAAUAUUAGUGACUACGCUUAUCAGGUUUACUCCUACAUUAUUUGCAAGAGAGUUAAUCUGACCUAAACUUGAAAAUUUUAUAAAAAAUAUCACUAAUACACUGCUAAACACAUAAUUGCUAAUUAAAACGUGAA